rnacentral:rRNA from 1 species
GAUGAACGCUGGCGGCGUGCCUAAUACAUGCAAGUCGAGCGAACAGACGAGGCGCUUGCUCCUCUGUCGUUAGCGGCGGACGGGUGAGUAACACGUGGAUAACCUACCUAUAAGACUGGGAUAACUUCGGGAAACCGGAGCUAAUACCGGAUAAUAUAUUGAACCGCAUGGUUCAAUAGUGAAUGACGGUUUUGCUGUCACUUAUAGAUGGUUCCGCGCGGCAUUAGCUAGUUGGUAAGGUAACGGCUUACCAAGGCAACGAUGCGUAGCGGACCUGGGAGGGUGAUCGCCAAAAUGGGAACUGAGAAACGGUCCAGACUCCUACGGGAGGCAGCAGUAGGGAAUCUUCCGCAAUGGGCGAAAGCCUGACGGAGCAACGCCGCGUGAGUGAUGAAGGUCUUCGGAUCGUAAAACUCUGUUAUUAGGGAAGAACAAAUGUGUAAGUAACUAUGCACGUCUUGACGGUACCUAAUCAGAAAGCCACGGCUAACUACGUG